ACCGGUAGCUAGCUCUCUGCAACUCUGACAUGGUCACCCACUGAAGCUAAGCAGGGUCCUGCUGCCCGGUCAGUACCUGGAUGGGAGACCACAUGGGAAAGCUAGGUUGCUGCUGGAA
ensembl:rRNA 5S_rRNA 5S ribosomal RNA